GGAGACACUGGGGGUACAGGGCAGGGGAUGCCGGUUAUGGGAGGUUAUCAAGCAGAGCACGGUAAACUGGGCUGUGGAAGUUAUGCAGGUUAAGUUGCUGUCAUCUCCACUGAUGAGAGUUUCCAGAUACUAGAAACAUUAUCUGGAAUGUCAUUCUCCUCUUCCCGGUACAAUCUUACAAAUGGAGAUGUCCCUUAGAAAUAUAAAUAUCUCUUUGCAAAGAUUCGGACAUGACUUAGUGACUGAACAACAACAACAACAAAAAGUUUCGGAGACAGAUCGCUCAGUCGUGUCCGACUCUUGGCGACACCAUGGACUGCAGCCUACCAGGCUCCUCCGUCCAUGGGAUUUUCCAGCAACCAUUUUGUGCCAGCCAUUGUGUUAUCCUCCAGAACCCAACUUCAAUAAGAUCUAUAUUUGUCCAUCAGGAGCUUACGAUCUAGUUCAUUACAUUUUAAUUACUUUGAAAUGGGCAAAACAGUAUUGCUCAUUUAAAAUAAAGUUAUACUUAUUUGGCUGUGUCGGGUCUUAGUUUGUAGCACACGGCAUCUUGAGCUGUGGCACGUGGGCUUUAGAGCGCUCGGGCUCAGUGGUCAUGGUGUGCAGGCUUAGUUGCAGCAUGUGGGAUCUUAGUUCCCCAACCAGGGAUCGAACCCAU
ensembl:lncRNA